GUAACCAGAGAGUCGCCUGUGAAUCCGGAGAGGGGUGACAUGACUCACUUCGUUGCGCAGAUCAUGUCAACGGCUGGACAGACUGGCCUUGCUGUGAGAGUUGUCAGGUGGCAGAUACACAGUGUGUGCGCUUAAGGAUGGGGAAAAGCAGAAAGAGCUGUGUAGCAGUGAAGCCUUGUAGCAUGGAAUUGGUUGGGCUCUGCAUAUGCACUUGAGGAAAGCUGCACAAGAACAGCCAGGUCAGGGUCUUCAGAACUUCUGCUUUCAUUGGCUGCACCAAGGAAAUCUUGAAUUAUACCCUGCUUGGAUACCAGUCACCCUGUGCCAUUGAAUUCAUUGGGAGUUUUACCCAUGAGGUCCCAAGAAGAUACCCUGAAUAUAUCACAACUCAAAACAAGCAAUGAUUUAAGUGUCAGUCUCCUCCGGUUAAUGAGAAGUGGAUACUCCAGAGUAAUGCUCUCAGCACUGUCUCCUUCAUUCACCACCACCCUAAAAGGUUGUAUUGCCACCUUCACAAUUCAUUUCCCAGCUAAGCUCAUAUGCAUGUCUUGGAUGUCAGCGUUUGGAAAGCAGUAGACUUCUGCCAACUUGUUUUGGCAGAAGAAUGUUGAGCUAGGUCUCAUUCAGAAAAAUUGGACUCUUAUCUAAACGCCAUUAAAGUAACAAGAAAACAAGAAUAGCUAAAAUACGCAAUCCUGAAAUCUAGAGAUGAAAUAAAAAUAGAGUAGGGCUCCCA
rnacentral:lncRNA from 1 species